rnacentral:lncRNA from 1 species
GGGGUGACUAAAGACGUUUUUAUUAGAAUCAGACAAGAGAUUACAAGAUUUGUCGGGAAAAUAAGGAGACAAGAUUAGAGGUCUAAACAACAAGAUCAGAGUGAUCAAUGGGAAACCCUAAAUCUAGCCGCUUAGUGUGUAGGUCGUCCAAAAGUCCCCUUGUCGUUGUAUUCUUCUCCCCUCUUAUAGUGCUCUUGCCGGUGAUGCCCUAAUCGCCUUGUCUUUUGGGCCUCGUCGCCAAAGGCCGAGUAUGCAGGCCUUGGCACUGUUCCCUCCAAGCCGAGUAUCAUCGAUCGGCUUAACUGAUCGGCUAAAAGUACUCUGGAGCCGAGUCAACACCUCCAGCCGCUGAGCCGACUAAACUAGCUAAGUUUAUUGGGCUAGGGCCUGUUAUUUGGCGGGCCUUGUGGAGGGAUGUAAUCCAUCUCCUACAA